rnacentral:rRNA from 1 species
UAAGGAAUAUUGGGCAAUGGGCGCGAGCCUGACCCAGCCAUGCCGCGUGCAGGAAGACGGCCCUAUGGGUUGUAAACUGCUUUUAUACGGGAUUAACCGCCUUGACGAGUCGGGGUUUGCAAGUACCGUAUGAAUAAGCAUCGGCUAACUCCGUGCCAGCAGCCGCGGUAAUACGGAGGAUGCGAGCGUUAUCCGGAUUUAUUGGGUUUAAAGGGUGCGUAGGCUGAUACUUAAGUCAGUGGUGAAAUUUUCCGGCUUAACCGGGAGGCUGCCGUUGAUACUGUGUAUCUUGAGUUUAGUUGAUGUGGGCGGAAUGUGUCAUGUAGCGGUGAAAUGCAUAGAGAUGACACAGAACACCGAUAGCGAAGGCAGCUCACAAAAUUAAUACUGACGCUGAGGC